rnacentral:rRNA from 1 species
UACGUAGGGUGCAAGCGUUGUCCGGAAUUAUUGGGCGUAAAGAGCUCGUAGGCGGUUUGUAGCGUCGUCCGUGAAAACCUGUGGCUCAACUGCAGGCUUGCGGUCGAUACGGGCAGGCUGGAGUUCGGUAGGGGAGACUGGAAUUCCUGGUGUAGCGGUGAAAUGCGCAGAUAUCAGGAGGAACACCGAUUGCGAAGGCAGCUCGCUGGGACGUUACUGACGCUGAGACGCGAAAGCGUGGGGAGCAAACAGG